GACGAACGCUGGCGGCGUGCCUAAUACAUGCAAGUCGAGCGGACGGAUGGGAGCUUGCUCCCAGACCGUCAGCGGCGGACGGGUGAGUAACACGUGGGCAACCUGCCUGUAAGACUGGGAUAACUCCGGGAAACCGGGGCUAAUACCGGAUAACUCUUUCCCUCACAUGAGGGAAAGCUGAAAGAUGGCAUCUCGCUAUCACUUACAGAUGGGCCCGCGGCGCAUUAGCUAGUUGGUGAGGUAACGGCUCACCAAGGCGACGAUGCGUAGCCGACCUGAGAGGGUGAUCGGCCACACUGGGACUGAGACACGGCCCAGACUCCUACGGGAGGCAGCAGAAGGGAAUCUUCCGCAAUGGACGAAAGUCUGACGGAGCAACGCCGCGUGAGUGAUGAAGGUUUUCGGAUCGUAAAACUCUGUUGUCAGGGAAGAACAAGUACCGGAGUAACUGCCGGUACCUUGACGGUACCUGACCAGAAAGCCACGGCUAACUACGUG
rnacentral:rRNA from 1 species